rnacentral:tRNA from 1 species
UAUUGAUUUAUUAGUUUUAGGUAUUGAAUUAUUAUUAUUAAUU